AUGGUACAAGCUCGAUGCCGAACACCGGCCAUACAAGUCACACGGAUCGAUAUGUCCUUCCUCUGCUUCAUCAAUGCGACUUUCAUCAAAGAAAGGAUCAUGGAAUGGGUAAGGGCUGAAGUGGAUACAUCCAAUGAGAAGGUCAGGGAAAGGGUGCAAUCAGUUGUCUUUGACAUGUCAAACGUGGUGAACAUUGACACUUCAGGACUCGUGGGAUCGGAAGAAAUUCACAAGGAUCUAGCAUCCCUGGGCAUACAGUUUCACAGGAACAAGUCAGUGGCAGUAAAAGUUGAAGCUCCUUAG
rnacentral:rRNA from 1 species